rnacentral:rRNA from 1 species
AGAGUUUGAUCCUGGCUCAGGAUGAACGCUAGCGACAGGCCUAACACAUGCAAGUCGAGGGGUAACAGGAAAGUAGCAAUACAAUCGCUGACGACCGGCGCACGGGUGAGUAACACGUAUGCAAUCUACCUUCUACAGGGAGAUAGCCCGGAGAAAUUCGGAUUAAUACCCCAUAAUACAGGGAUACCGCAUGGUAAUAUUUGUUAAAGAUUAAUCGGUAGAAGAUGAGCAUGCGUUUCAUUAGGUAGUUGGUGCGGGUAACGGCCCACCAAGCCCACGAUGAAUAGGGGAACUGAGAGGUUUAUCCCCCACACUGGAACUGAGACACGGUCCAGACUCCUACGGGAGGCAGCAGUGAGGAAUAUUGGUCAAUGGACGCAAGUCUGAACCAGCCAAGUCGCGUGAAGGAUGACUGCCCUACGGGUUGUAAACUUCUUUUGUGUGGGAGUAAAAAGAACUACGCGUAGUUUAUUGCAAGUACCAUACGAAUAAGCAUCGGCUAACUCCGUGCCAGCCGCCGCGGUAAUUC